rnacentral:lncRNA from 1 species
CAGGCCCCACAUCUUAACUGGAGGUGUAUGCAUCUUAAUACAGCCGUGCUGUCUGUCAAACUGUUAUGAAACCGCCGUGCCAAGAGGUGUGGAUAGUUAGCAGUUCUUUGUACAAGCUUUAAUGGAAAGCGGAUCCAAACUCCCAGGCAAACCUAGCCAGCGCGUGGUGUGAGAAGUCCUUAGAGGAGCCCGAAGCGCUCUCGCUCCUCUUCUCAGCGCCCGGCGAUCACAUCACACUGCACAAAACGCAAAACUACUGAGGUCCUUGUGGGAGGAAAUGGAGAUCGUGCGGCCUGAGAUGACUAAAUGGUUUUUAGAGAAACCUCAGAAAGCAAGGUCAAGCUUUGAGUGACUUGUCUAAACUACAGCCACUUGUUCUUUGCUAUGAACACCUGCAUUUUCACACGUGCGAAAUGAUGUUUUCCAUGAUCAAAAGCGAAAUGUUCCAUGGAGAAUUCCAGUAUUAACUGCCAGCUUGUGUAGCAUCCCCUUGGUGGACCACUGGAAAAUUGGGACUUCUGAUGUGUACAACCUGCUGUGCAGAAACGCUCCAGGGCCUCGGAGUUCACUGGCCUCAGGGCAGUCCACCAGUCUGUCUGCUAUUGCGCUGCAGUGAAGGAGGGUGUUGCAGGACCCCAUGCAUUGGGGUUGUCGUUGUGGAUCACGCCUGGACAAGUGCUAGCAGUGCCACGAAGCAGAAGCAGCUGUACUGCACUGAAGAACCUCGUCUCCCAGAAGACUGGAUGUGUUAGCAGGCUGACUUUCUCCUUUUCAAGAAAAAAGCUCAGGUGUCAUCUCCCUGGAAUUCAUUACCUGGCUGCUGUAAUGUGUCUGUCUUCCAUCAGCAGUUGCAUUGAGAAUAUUGAUAAACAUUAAUCUUAUUUUUGGUACACGUAGCCACUGCAGGAAGGAUGCUUGCCUCAGCUGCAUAGUAACUGCUACAUCUCUGAAGUGUUUGCUGAACACCUCACUGGCUUGAGGAUGUGGCUGGAUUCGAUGUUCAGGGAUCUUGUGUAAUAAAUAUGAAAGUCCACUAAAUGUAAUGCA